rfam:Triticum aestivum genome assembly, contig: Triticum_aestivum_CS42_TGACv1_scaffold_230925_3B
CAAAUACUCCCUCAGUUCGAAAAUACUUGUCAUCAAAAUGGAUAAAAAUAGAUGUAUCUUGAACGAAAAUACAUCUAGAUACAUCCCCUUUUAUCAAUUUUGAUGACAAGUAUUUCCGAACGAAGGGAGUGCGAC